UACAGAGGGUGCGAGCGUUAAUCGGAAUUACUGGGCGUAAAGCGCGCGUAGGCGGCUUUGCAAGUCGAGUGUGAAAUCCCCGGGCUCAACCUGGGAACUGCAUUCGAGACUGCAUUGCUAGAGUAUGGGAGAGGGAGGUGGAAUUUCAGGUGUAGCGGUGAAAAUGCGUAGAUAUCUGAAGGAACAUCAGUGGCGAAAAGCGACUUCCUGGACCAAUCUGACGCUCAAGUGGCGAAAAGCGUGGGGGAGCAAACAGG
rnacentral:rRNA from 1 species